CCUACGGGGGGCAGCAGUGGGGAAUAUUGGACAAUGGGGGCAACCCUGAUCCAGCCAUGCCGCGUGUGUGAAGAAGGCCCUCGGGUUGUAAAGCACUUUCAGUGAGGAAGAACGCCUGGUGGUUAAUACCCAUCAGGAAAGACAUCACUCACAGAAGAAGCAUCGGCUAACUCCGUGCCAGCAGCCGCGGUAAUACGGAGGGUGCGAGCGUUAAUCGGAAUUACUGGGCGUAAAGCGCGCGUAGGUGGCUUGAUAAGCCGGUUGUGAAAGCCCCGGGCUCAACCUGGGAACGGCAUCCGGAACUGUCAAGCUAGAGUGCAGGAGAGGAAGGUAGAAUUCCCGGUGUAGCGGUGAAAUGCGUAGAGAUCGGGAGGAAUACCAGUGGCGAAGGCGGCCUUCUGGACUGACACUGACACUGAGGUGCGAAAGCGUGGGUAGCAAACAGGAUUAGAUACCCCGGUAGUC
rnacentral:rRNA from 1 species